rnacentral:rRNA from 2 species
UAAGUCUCCUGAAGGAACGUUAAAGACGAUGACGUUGAUAGGUCGGGUGUGUAAGUGUAGCGAUACAUUGAGCUAACCGAUACUAAUGAACCGUGAGGCUUAACCUU